rnacentral:rRNA from 1 species
UACAGAGGGGGCAAGCGUUAUUCGGAAUUAUUGGGGCGUAAAAGGGCGCGUAGGCGGCCAUUCAAGUGACGGGUGAAAGCCCUCGGGCUUAACCCGAGGAACUGCCUGUCAGACUGGAUGGCUUGAGACCGGGAGAGGUGAGUGGAAUUCCCAGUGUAGCGGUGAAAUGCGUAGAUAUUGGGAGGAACACCAGUGGCGAAGGCGGCUCACUGGACCGGAACUGACGCUGAGGUGCGAAAGCGUGGGGAGCAAACAGG